rnacentral:rRNA from 1 species
UCCCAGUUCGGAUUGUAGUCUGCAACCCGACUACAUGAAGCUGGAAUCGCUAGUAAUCGCGGAUCAGAAUGCCGCGGUGAAUACGUUCCCGGGUCUUGUACACACCGCCCGUCACACCAUGGGAGUCAGUAACGCCCGAAGUCAGUGACCUAACCGAGAGGGAGGAGCUGCCGAAGGCGGGACGGAUAACUGGGGUGAAGUCGUAACAAGGUACC